AUUGAACGCUGGCGGCAUGCCUAACACAUGCAAGUCGAACGGUAACGCGGGGGCAACCCUGGCGACGAGUGGCGGACGGGUGAGUAAUACGUAGGAAUCUGCCCAUUUGUGGGGGAUAACCCGGCGAAAGCCGGGCUAAUACCGCAUACGCUCUACGGAGGAAAGCGGGGGAUCGUAAGACCUCGCGCUAAUGGAUGAGCCUACGUCGGAUUAGCUAGUUGGUAGGGUAACGGCCUACCAAGGCGACGAUCCGUAGCUGGUCUGAGAGGACGAUCAGCCACACUGGGACUGAGACACGGCCCAGACUCCUACGGGAGGCAGCAGUGGGGAAUAUUGGACAAUGGGGGCAACCCUGAUCCAGCAAUGCCGCGUGUGUGAAGAAGGCCUGCGGGUUGUAAAGCACUUUCAGAGGGGAAGAAAAAGUCGGAGCUAACACCUCCGGUCUUGACGUUACCCUUAGAAGAAGCACCGGCUAACUCCGUGCCAGCAGCCGCGGUAAUACGGAGGUGCAAGCGUUAAUCGGAAUUACUGGGAGUAAAGGCGCACGCAGGUGGCUGAGUCAGUCGAUUGUG
rnacentral:rRNA from 1 species